UCGGCCUUCACUUUUUUGUUUACUUUCUUGUCACCAUCCUUCCCAUUAAAAAAGUGAAAAUCGCCCAAAUCAAGCCGAUCCUUCUCCUCGGCCGUGGGAAUCAAACUGUUUAUCCUCAGCUGAAAAAUAAUAAGUAUACUUUAGUAUAUCAUCUAACAAACAAUGUACAAUUACAUUGAAAUAAACAGUAAAUAAAGAAUCAUAAACAUAAUCAGUAACCAAAUACAUAUAUACAGGUAACCAAAUGUAUAAUAAGUAGUAACCAACUAAAUGUAUAAAUGUAACCAAAUGUGUAUUAUUCGGAUAACCAACAACAAUGUCAUUAGUAACCUGAAUGUAAUCUAAUCAGUAACCGUAUUUGAAUAUUCAAGUAACCAAAAAUAUUGUUAUUAUUAACAUGCAUAUAAAAUAAUCAGUAACCAAACGUGUAUAUAAAGGUAACUAACUACUUUGUUGAUAGUAAACUUCACAUAAUAUUUUCAUUUAUCAAGUAUAUAACUAAAGGUAAAACAACAUACCUGUCCGGAACAAAAAACUAAUUCAUUCAACUUGUCAUUAGAAAGCGGCUUCAUUAACUCCUUCCAUCUGAAUAAACGGACAUCCGACGGAUGCUCGUCAUUGCAUAUACCCCGACUUUUGAAUGUCGGAAUAGUUUCAAACAUAAAAACUUGGA
rnacentral:lncRNA from 1 species